UUUGAUGGCGACCGGCGCACGGGUGAGUAACACGUAUCCAACCUGCCGAUGACUCGGGGAUAGCCUUUCGAAAGAAAGAUUAAUACCCGAUGGCAUAGUUCUUCCGCAUGGUAGAACUAUUAAAGAAUUUCGGUCAUCGAUGGGGAUGCGUUCCAUUAGGUUGUUGGCGGGGUAACGGCCCACCAAGCCUUCGAUGGAUAGGGGUUCUGAGAGGAAGGUCCCCCACAUUGGGACUGAGACACGGUCCAA
rnacentral:rRNA from 1 species